rnacentral:rRNA from 1 species
GACGAACGCUGGCGGCGUGCCUAAUACAUGCAAGUUGAGCGCUGAAGGUUGGUACUUGUACCGACUGGAUGAGCAGCGAACGGGUGAGUAACGCGUGGGGCAUCUGCCUUUGAGCGGGGUACAACAUUUGGAAACGAAUGCUAAUCCCGCAUAAAAACUUUAAACACAAGUUUUAAGUUUGAAAGAUGCAAUUGCAUCACUCAAAGAUGAUCCCGCGUUGUAUUAGCUAGUUGGUGAGGUAAAGGCUCACCAAGGCGGUGAUACAUAGCCGACCUGAGAGGGUGGUCGGCCACAUUGGGACGGAGACACGGCACAAACUCCUACGGGAGGCAGCAGUAGGGCAUCGUGGGCAAGGGACGAAAGUCUGACCGAGCAACGCCGCGUGAGUGAAGAAGGUUUUCGGAUCGUGAAACUCUGUUGGUAGGGAAGAACGUUGGUGAGAGUGGAAAGCUCAGCAAGUGACGGUAACUACCCAGAAAGGGACGGCUAACUACGUG